rnacentral:miRNA from 1 species
CUUCAAGAAGAAGAGGCUCUG